GAUGAACGCUGACAGAAUGCUUAACACAUCAGCAAUUGAUUGGUGGAGGACGAGUGAGUAACGCGUAAAGAACUUGCCUCACAGCUAGGGACAACAUUAGGAAACGCAUGCUAAUACAUAAUACUGUGAGAGAGCUUUGCGUCCCAUUAGCUAGAUGGAGAGGUAACGGCGCACCAAGGAGAUGAUGGGUAGCCGGCCUGAGAGGGUGACCGGCCACAAGGUGACUGAGACACGGCCCUUACUCCAUCGGGAGGCAGCAGUGGGAAAUAUUGGACAAUUGACCAAUGUCUGAUCCAGCAAUUCGGUGUGCACGAUGAAGUUUUCGGAAUGUAAAGUGCUUUCAGUUGGGAAGCGGUACCAACAGAAGAAGUGACGGCUAAAUACGUGCCAGCAGCCGCGGUAAUUC
rnacentral:rRNA from 1 species